rnacentral:rRNA from 1 species
UGGGGAAUAUUGCACAAUGGGGGAAACCCUGUUGCAGCGCCGCCGCGGGAAGGAAGAAGGUAUUCGUAUCGUAAAGUUCUGUCCUAUGGGAAGAUAAGGACAGUACCAUAGAAGAAAGCCCGCGCUAAACACGUGCCAGCAGCCGCGGUAAUACGUAUGGAGCGAGCGUUGUCCGGAAUUAUUGGGCGUAAAGGGUACGCAGGCGGUUUAAUAAGUCGAAUGUUAAAGAUCGGGGCUCAACCCCGCAAAGCAUUGGAAACUGAUAAACUUGAGUAGUGGAGAGGAAAGUGGAAUUCCUAGUGUAGUGGUGAAAUACGUAGAUAUUAGGAGGAAUACCAGUAGCGAAGGCGACUUUCUGGACACAAACUGACGCUGAGGUACGAAAGCGUGGGGAGCAAACAGG